GUCGCAUUUAUUUCGCCCAGAUGAGCGGGAGGGACGUCAGAGACGAAGAGAAACCAGAGUGUGUCCAGCCUGGCACAGACGUGACCUCCUUUCACAAAAGAUUUUCCCCAGGGAACAAGGGAGGAUGUGGCGCUCAGGGGGCGCAUGACUCGGGUGAACCGGCCCCCAACGUGGGCGCCAUGGAAGGGUUUGGCAACCUAGAGGCGUUUGUUCCCAUUCCGGUUUCAGGGGCUUCAGGGCACAGUGUGGGCCUGGCGGGGAGCACAGGGCAGGGAGCUGAGCCAGCAGGGAGGACCAUCUGCUACGCUGCCAGCCACGCCGGGCCCCAUGCGGGAAACAAGUCGGCUUUGGGGCCAGAGGAGACAUCCGUUGCUGCUGGACACUGUGCCAAGCCAAGCGGCCCACCUCGCAGGCUUCCUCCCUCACUCCCCACUGUGCCCAGAAGAAGGGCAGGGAGUCUUUGCCAAGUGGCUGCUACAGCCAGGGUAAAUGGGCACAGGGCGUUCUGGGACCAUAGGCAGGGCAAACUGGCAUGGAGGGGC
rnacentral:lncRNA from 1 species